CACACACCACUGUUAAAAUGUUUGGAAUUUUUGGGGUAAUUACAUUUUUUAGCAAGGAUGCAUUAAAUUGAUGUGAUGAAAAGUAAAGGCUUUUUACAUUGUUAUACAAAUUCUAUUUCAAAUAAAUUCUGUUUAACUUCACCAAUAGAUGAAAAAAAAUAUAUUUUUGUUCCACAAAAAUAUUAAGCAGCACUGUUUGUAAUAUUGAUUAAGUAAUGUUUCUUCAGUAUAUCAGAAGGAUUUCUGAAGGAUCAUGACGGAGUAAUGCUGAAGAAUGGAGUAAUGCUGAAAAUUCAGUGUUACAAUCACAGGGAGUUUUCAAAGAACCUAUCUGCAACCUGUCAAUCAAACAGAUAGCUCCGCCUCAAACUCACGCUAUUGGAUGAAUGUUGCUCUGUCAGUCAUGCAUCACAGCCAAGAGUCUAAACAGAUGUGACUGAUCACCAGAAUGUUAAAGAGUGUGUCUCGGGUUCCAGGGAAGCAAGAGAACGUUAUGAAAUGUGACUGGGGGCUGGGAGUGUAUCUCUGCUGUGCUGACCAUGUGUGCGGCUUCAGGCGGCUGCUCCCUGUGAAGCAUUUCAUUGGAAACGCACGGGGCCUCAGUUAUCAUCUGUUGAAAGGAUUACAAGCUCCACACAGUCUGGUGCAAAACAAUUUGCAACUGCUUUCAUUCAGAGGAAGGCCUCAAAAACAUUUUCCCGUACAUCAGUAGUGCAACGACCAAGGUUAGCCUACUGAUAACACAGAAACAUUCUUGGAAAAUGUCAAAACCCCAAUAACAAUAUACUAUAUUAUUUACACAAGCUAGACUAACAACCUUCCUUCACCUCUGCUUGUCCUUUCUUUUCAAUGGAUAUAUAGUACAAUGGUAACCGCCCACUGUUUUAUAGUGGCUGUGGUAUUUUUUCACAUUAAAUUUUCUCCAUUAUGAUUUAAAAACAAAACAAAACAAAAAAUCUACAUUUAAAAUAAUAAUAAUCUUAAUAAUUAAAUUAAUUAAUGAGGUAAUUAACUACUCAUCCCAUGAAACAUAGUAAAUGACAUAAUAGAUCAAAGUAAUAGUAUUAAAUAAAAAUAGGUUUAUACUCGUUCAUUAUAAGUAUUAGAAAAAUAUAUUUUGAUAUAGUUUAUUAUAAAAUUCAAAGAGUUGGUAUGUCGGUUAGAGUUUGUAAUGUGCUUUAAAGUCUUUUCUGCUCACCAAGGCUGCAUUUAUUUGAUUAAAAAAUACAGUAAAAGCAAGAAUAUUGUGAAAUAUUAUUACAAUUUAAAAUAACCAUUUUCUAUUUGAAUAUAUUUUAAAAGGUAAUUUAUUACUGUGAUCAAAGCUGAAUUUUAAGUAUGACUAUUUUCCAAUCCAAUUUUAAAGCAACAUUUUAGCAAAGGCUCAUUUUCAAAGUCUCCUAGAGUUACUGUAAACGGUUGAGUUUUACUGUUUUCGAAUCCAUUCAGCCGAUCUCUGGGUCUGGUGGUAGCACUUUUAGCUUAACUUAGCAUAGAUCAUUGAUUCUGAUUAGACCGUUAGCAUCUCACUCAAAAAUGACUAAAGAGUUUCGAUAUAAUUCCUAUUUAAAACUCGGCUGUGUGUGUGUGUGUGUACA